GAAAUGAAGCGCUGUGGUUAAGGUCUACACUGACCACAACUGAAUGACUGCCUGCUGCUUUGAAGCCUAACUUCUUCAGACCUUUUAUAUUAAAUACUUUUCAGAAGAAUUCUGGAAGAGUUCUGAAAAAUGAGCCAUGGUCAUGAGCAUAUGGUGGCUGGUUUGUCAAGCAGCCUUUCUUGAACUUCAGUGACCAGCCGAAUUUAAAUCAGUGAACUUACUAGUAAGAUUUAUGCCUUACCCACUUCAAAAGGAAUUUUGCUUAAAGAUGAUGAGAGGAAUGGAUUAUGAAAAGCUGAUCUGAGAGCCCAAUGUUGACAAUUUACCCUCAGUAUAUGAAGCAUAGGAGUUAUGGACUCUGACUUGAUCCCAACAUGAACUUCAUGCCAGCUAUAAUUGCUAUCAAUGGCAGUUCUAGGUUCUAUAUUGGGCCUCUGAUCCACUAUUCUUGCAUGUCUGCCAUAAAGCCCCACAGCAAAGGGAACAACUGAUAGAGUGAUGAGACAGCUGAGGAGAAGAUAUGCACCAACUGUUCAUCCAGGCUUAUUUAUAUUUGGAGAAUAAAGAACUCAAUAACAACAAAAAUAAGUAAUCCAAUUAAAAUGGGCAAUUAAAUGAUCUGAAUUGGAACUUUUCAAAAGAAGGAAUGCAAAUGUUUAACAAACAAAUGAAAAAUAUGCUCAAUGUUUAGUCAGGAAAUGUAACUCAAAGCGACAACAAGAUUUCUCACCGUAGUCAGAAUGGUUAUCAUUGUGAUAAAAAUAGCAAUAAAUGCUCCUAAAGAUGUGAGAAAAAAAGAACUUCUGUACGUUGUUGGUAGAAAUGUAAAUUACUAAAGCCACUGUGGAGAACGUAUGAAGACCUCAAAAAAAACAAAAAAACAAAUAAAUCAAUGAUCCAAUUACAUCACUUUCUGAUAUUUAUCAAAAGGAAGUGAAUUCCAAACAAAUGGCUAAACCCCAAUGUUCGCUGUGGCAGUAUUCAAAACUGAUAGGCUAUAAAAUCGAAGUAGGUGUUCAUCAGCUAGUGAAGAAGGAAAGAUGCAUAUCUACACUGAGGGACAUUAUUAAGCUCAAGGAAGUAGAAAUGCUGUCGUUUGUGGCUAAAUGGGAACAAUUUUAAGAGAGUAUGUAAAAUGAAAUAAGCCUGGCACAGAAAAAUAAACAUUGCUUGUUGUCUUUCAUAUGUAGGAGCUGAAAACUUGUCAUCCUGUAUGUAGAAUAGUGAUUAUUAGAAGUCGGAAAGUGAGGCCGAAGGUGGACCAGUUAAGGGAGGUUGGCUCGACAAUGGUUACACCUAAACACAGUUAAUUAGAAGGGAUAAUUUCUAUGUAUAGCAACACAGUUCAUAAUAAUAUUAUGUUUUAUAAAGAUCUAGAAAAGAAGAGCUUGACAGUUUCAAACAUAAAGAAAAUAGGCUUGGUGGCCUGUAUUGGUAAUUCCAGCAAUUGUAAAUCUGAGGAAGCAUGAUUAAGAUUUAGAUUCCCAGGAUAUAUAGAGAGACCUGGUCAAGAAGAAAGAGCUAAUGAAAAAUAAAAACAAAGAAAUGAUAAAGGAGAGAAGGGAGUAGAAAAUAAAAUAUUAAUUACCUUAUUCAAUCAGUGUAUAUUGCAUGACUGUGUUUAAAUAUCACAAUGUAU